GUGCAUCGUCAGGCAGGCCGAACAGAAAAGUAGCCAGGAUUUCGGUGAGGCCAGUAACAAUGUGGGAACCAGCUCCCCAGUGUGCAGCUGAGAGAUUCUCCCUAUUGGUUGAGUGCAAGCUCCUCCACACCUCCAGAAACAUCGAAUACGUCUUCCUUGAUGGCUGCAAGAACAUCACUGCAUCUCACAUCCUGGCAGCUGCAGGCAUCCACAACAUCUACAAAGGACCUGCCUACUGCCCUCUUCAACUCAAAUACCCCCCCCCCCCUUUUUCACCUUCCCCAUGCAGCUGGAGGAGGAAGCCCAGGGCUUGGAACACUUCCCUGCUUCCAAGAAAAGGCUGCCGGUGUUCCGCCAGCUCUGCGGGGAGGCUGUGCCAGGCAUCCAUCGUCAAGACUCAGGCCAAGGGCUGAAGAAGCUGCCUGAUGCCGAAGCACCAAGGGAGGACGUGGAAGGUGGCAGUAUGAGGCAGGCAGCAGGGUGCUCCCCUCCCCAAAAGGCACGAAUUGACUCUGAGAUAGCUUCUGAAUAAAAUGUAAGAU